GGCUAGUCUGUGCGAACCGAUAGCUAACACGUGGAACCCUGCUCUGUCGGCUCGUCGCCGAUAGCUAACACGUGGAACCCUGCUCUGUCGGCUAGUGAUAGGAAAUCUGGGUUAUCAAAAAAAAAAAAAAAAAAACUCAGUAAGUGAUGGUUAAUAAGUGAAAAAAAAAAAGAAAAAAAAAAGAGAGGCAGUGGAAGUGAGAGUAGGG
rnacentral:lncRNA from 1 species